rnacentral:rRNA from 1 species
GGAGGAUCAUUAUCGUAGGGCUUCGGCCCUGUCGAGAUAGAACCCUUGCCUUUUUGAGUACCUUUCGUUUCCUCGGCAGGCUCGCCUGCCAAUGGGGACCACAAAAAACACUUUGCAGUACCUGUAACAGUCUGAACAAACAAAACAAAAAUUAAAACUUUCAACAACGGAUCUCUUGGUUCUGGCAUCGAUGAAGAACGCAGCGAAAUGCGAUAAGUAGUGUGAAUUGCAGAAUUCAGUGAAUCAUCGAAUCCUUGAACGCACAUUGCGCCCUUUGGUAUUCCUUAGGGCAUGCCUGUUCGAGCGUCAUUUAAACCUUCAAGCUAAGCUUGGUGUUGGGUGACUGUCCGCUUCACUGCGGACUCGCCUCAAAAUUAUUGGCGGCCGGUACAUUGGCUUCGAGCGCAGCAGAAACGCGAACUCGGGCCCGUCGUAUUGGCUCCCAGAAGCUAUCUUCACAAUUUUGACCUCGGAUCAGGUAGGGAUACCCGCUGAACUUAAGCAUAUCAAUAAGCGGAGGA